UACGGAGGGUGCGAGCGUUGUCCGGAAUCAUUGGGCGUAAAGGGCGCGUAGGUGGCCCGGUCAGUUCGUGGUGAAAGCGCGGGGCUCAACCCUGCGUCGGCCAUGAAUACUGCCGCGGCUGGAGCACUGUAGAGGCAGGCGGAAUUCCGGGUGUAGCGGUGGAAUGCGUAGAGAUCGGGAGGAACACCUGUGGCGAAGGCGGCCCCCUGGGCCGGCCCUGACACUGAGACGCGAAGGCGUGGGGAGCGAACGGG
rnacentral:rRNA from 1 species